AAACAUUUUUGUGUUUUAAUAUUACUCGUUGUUGUAAAUGUCUUAGCAGAUAAAAAAAUUGAAUAUAAAACAGAGCUUGUCUACACAAAUAGACAACUCGCGCGGGUGCGAUGUCGUGAAGUGCGUUUGCUAAAGGUAAUUAGAAAAAUUGUUGGUGGAACUACACCGAUGG